rnacentral:rRNA from 1 species
UACCCUCGGGUGGGGGAUAACCUCGGGAAACUGAGGCUAAUACCCCAUAGGCCUCGGAUACUGGAAGGUUCCGAGACCGAAAGCUCCGGCGCCCGAGGAUGGGUCUGCGGCCUAUCAGGUAGUUGGUGGUGUAAAGGACCACCAAGCCUACGACGGGUACGGGCCCUGAGAGGGGGAGCCCGGAGAUGGACUCUGAGACACGAGUCCAUGCCCUACGGGGCGCAGCAGGCGCGAAACCUUCGCAAUGCGCGAAAGCGCGACGAGGGGAGCCCGAGUGCCCUUCCUUUCGGGAGGGCUUUUCUGGAGCCUAAAAAGCUCCAGGAAUAAGGGCUGGGCAAGACGGGUGCCAGCCGCCGCGGUAAUACCCGCAGCUCGAGUGGUGGCCACUAUUAUUGAGCCUAAAGCGUCCGUAGCCGGACCCGUAAAUCCCUGGGUAAAUCCUGGCGCUCAACGUCAGGAAUUCCGGGGAGACUGCGGGUCUUGGGACCGGGAGAGGCCGGAGGUACUCCCGGGGUAGGGGUAAAAUCCUGUAAUCCCGGGGGGACCACCUGUGGCGAAAG